UACGUAGGGUGCAAGCGUUGUCCGGAAUUAUUGGGCGUAAAGAGCUCGUAGGCGGUUCGUCACGUCGGCUGUGAAAACCUGAGGCUCAACCUCAGGCCUGCAGUCGAUACGGGCGGACUUGAGUACUGCAGGGGAGACUGGAAUUCCUGGUGUAGCGGUGAAAUGCGCAGAUAUCAGGAGGAACACCGGUGGCGAAGGCGGGUCUCUGGGCAGUAACUGACGCUGGAGGAGCGAAAGCCGUGGGGAGCGAACAGG
rnacentral:rRNA from 1 species